GCUGACUUCGGCAGCACACAUACUAAAACUGGAACGAAACAGAGAAGAUCAGCAUGGCCCCUGCAAAAGGAUGACACGCAAAUUCGUGAAGCUUUCCACAUUUUU